rnacentral:rRNA from 1 species
CUCCGUUGGUGACCAGCGGAGGGAUCUUACCGAGUUUUCACUCCCAAACCCCUGUGAACAUACCAUACUGUUGCCUCGGCGGUGCCUGUUCCGACAGCCCGCCAGAGGACCCCAAACCCAAAUUUCUUUGAGACGUAUUCUGAGUAACCGAUUAAAUAAAUCAAAACUUUCAACAACGGAUCUCUUGGUUCUGGCAUCGAUGAAGAACGCAGCGAAAUGCGAUAAGUAAUGUGAAUUGCAGAAUUCAGUGAAUCAUCGAAUCUUUGAACGCACAUUGCGCCCGCUAGUAUUCUGGCGGGCAUGCCUGUUCGAGCGUCAUUUCAACCCUCAAGCCCCCCGGGCUUGGUGUUGGGGAUCGGCGAGCCUCUGCGCCCGCCGUCCCCUAAAUUUAGUGGCGGUCACGUUGUAACUUCCUCUGCGUAGUAGCACACUUAGCACUGGGAAUCAGCGAGGCCACGCCGUAAAACACCCAACUUUAGAAUGUUUGACCUCGAAUCAGGUAGGACUACCCGCUGAACUUAAGCAUAUCAAU